AUUGAACGCUGGCGGCAUGCCUUACACAUGCAAGUCGAACGGCAGCACGGGGCAACCUGGUGGCGAGUGGCGAACGGGUGAGUAAUGCAUCGGAACGUACCUUUCAGUGGGGGAUAACGUAGCGAAAGUUACGCUAAUACCGCAUAUUCUGUGAGCAGGAAAGCAGGGGAUCGCAAGACCUUGCGCUGAUUGGGCGGCCGAUGUCAGAUUAGCUAGUUGGCGAGGUAAAGGCUCACCAAGGCGACGAUCUGUAGCGGGUCUGAGAGGAUGAUCCGCCACACUGGAGCUGAGACACGGUCCAGACUCCUACGGGAGGCAGCAGUGGGGAAUUUUGGACAAUGGGGGCAACCCUGAUCCAGCCAUGCCGCGUGAGUGAAGAAGGCCUUCGGGUUGUAAAGCUCUUUCGGCCGGGAAGAAAUCGCACGGGCUAAUACCCUGUGUGGAUGACGGUACCGGAAUAAGAAGCACCGGCUAACUACGUGCCAGCAGCCGCCGCAGUAA
rnacentral:rRNA from 1 species